rnacentral:rRNA from 1 species
AGCAGCCGCGGUAAUUCCAGCUCCAAUAGCGUAUAUUAAAGUUGUUGCAGUUAAAAAGCUCGUAGUUGAACUUCGGGAUUUGCCCAUUGGUCAGGCUUAACUGUCUGCACUGGUGUGACGAGUUCCUACCUUCUGAGGAAUCUCCAUGUCAUUCAGUUGGUGUGGGGGGAAAUCAGGACUGUUACUUUGAAAAAUUAGAGUGUUUAAAGCAGGCGUCCGUCUGAAUACAUUAGCAUGGAAUAAUAAAAUAGGACGGUUUGGUUCUAUUUUGUUGGUUUCUAGGAUCACCGUAAUGAUUAAUAGGGAUAGUUGGGGGCAUUAGUAUUCAAUUGUCAGAGGUGAAAUUCUUGGAUUUAUUGAAGACUAACUACUGCGAAAGCAUUUGCCAAGGAUGUUUUCAUUAAUCAAGAACGAAAGUUAGGGGAUCGAAGACGAUCAGAUACCGUCGUA